rnacentral:lncRNA from 1 species
CAAUCAAGCUCAUGACAUCUUUGAGGCUUUCUUCUUCUAGUUUUGGUCCUUCUCUCGAAGUUGCUUUUCCUGUUGAUUUCUUAGUCUUUGUUGACAAAGAGGCUUAAAGCAGCACCCUCAGCUGCCUGCCCCUUACACCAAGGUGGAGUGAUAAUGAGGGUGGUCACUGGCGGCCAAGGGUCUCCUUGAAGCAGCUGAGUCAGAGUUAGAGCCCCAGCAACCUAAGUCUACCUCUCCGCCCUCACCAGUGGACCCACUUCCAGGCCACGUAGGUGUAUCUGUUUGGUGAUGUGAGAGUUCCAUGAGCAGGGUUGAUGACAAGGAUGGUCAUGAAAGGAAUGGUCUCAAGGUCACACAAGUCCGCUUGGGGCCAGUCAAGCUGCCUUUUCAAGUUGCCUUCAUUUUCCCACCAGGACAUGGCCAGCUGAGGUCCUACUCCCAGGAAAUCCCAUCCCUCUAGUCUUUUUACUGAGAAAGCUAAUUUGCACUCAACCUCACACAGAUCAGCAGUGAUGGGGCUGAGCACCCUUGGCCUCACCCAGUCAUUAAGCAGCUGCAAUGGAGGGGGCAAGGAUGCUGGUUGCUAUGGUUUGGAUUUGAAAUGUCUCCUCAAACUCACGUAAAGACUGGGUUGCCAUCUGAUGGAAUUUGGGGGAAGUGACUGAAUUAUGAGGGCUCUAAUUUCAUCAAGUGAAUCAAUCCGCUGAUGGGAAUUCAAAGUGAUAGCAUUCCUGGGGAGGUGACAGUACCAGGAAGUGGAGGCUAAUUGAAGGAAAUGGGUCAUAGAGUCACAGUCUUGGGGAACAUCUCAGGUCGCUGCCCCUUCCUCACUGGCUCUCUUUGCCUCUCUGCUUCCCGGCUGUGAUGAGAUAAGUGGAUUUGCCCUCCUGUACCCUUGUUUCUGCCUCCACAAAGGCCUAAAAGCAAUGGAAACAGCCGACAGUGGACUGAAAUCUUUGAAACCCCAUGAGAUCAAAUAAACCUUGUUUUCUUUAAGUUGCUUUUCUCUGGUAUUUUGUCACAGUAAUGGAAAGCUGACCAACACACACAUUCAGCUGUGGACCCC